rnacentral:rRNA from 1 species
AUUGAACGCUGGCGGCAUGCUUUACACAUGCAAGUCGAACGGCAGCGCGGGCUUCGGCCUGGCGGCGAGUGGCGAACGGGUGAGUAAUGCAUCGGAACGUGCCCAGUCGUGGGGGAUAGCCCGGCGAAAGCCGGAUUAAUACCGCAUACGACCUGAGGGUGAAAGCGGGGGACCGAAAGGCCUCGCGCUAUUGGAGCGGCCGAUGUCGGUUUCGCUAGUUGGUGGGGUAAAGGCUUACCAAGGCGACGAUCCGUAGCUGGUCUGAGAGGACGACCCGCCACACUGGGACUGAGACACGGCCCAGACUCCUACGGGAGGCAGCAGUGGGGAAUUUUGGACAAUGGGGGCGACCCUGAUACAGCCAUGCCGCGUGCGGGAAGAAGGCCUUCGGGUUGUAAACCGCUUUUGUUCGGGAAGAAAUCCUCUGGGCUAAUACCCCGGGAGGAUGACGGUACCGGAAGAAUAAGCACCGGCUAACUACGUG